AAGGAGCUUGCUCCUUUGACGUUAGCGGCGGACGGGUGAGUAACACGUGGGUAACCUACCUAUAAGACUGGGAUAACUUCGGGAAACCGGAGCUAAUACCGGAUAACAUUUGGAACCGCAUGGUUCUAAAGUGAAAGAUGGUUUUGCUAUCACUUAUAGAUGGACCCGCGCCGUAUUAGCUAGUUGGUAAGGUAACGGCUUACCAAGGCGACGAUACGUAGCCGACCUGAGAGGGUGAUCGGCCACACUGGAACUGAGACACGGUCCAGACUCCUACGGGAGGCAGCAGUAGGGAAUCUUCCGCAAUGGGCGAAAGCCUGACGGAGCAACGCCGCGUGAGUGAUGAAGGGUUUCGGCUCGUAAAACUCUGUUAUUAGGGAAGAACAAAUGUGUAAGUAACUGUGCACGUCUUGACGGUACCUAAUCAGAAAGCCACGGCUAACUACGUGCCAGCAGCCGCGGUAAUACGUAGGUGGCAAGCGUUAUCCGGAAUUAUUGGGCGUAAAGCGCGCGUAGGCGGUUUCUUAAGUCUGAUGUGAAAGCCCACGGCUCAACCGUGGAGGGUCAUUGGAAACUGGGAAACUUGAGUGCAGAAGAGGAAAGUGGAAUUCCAUGUGUAGCGGUGAAAUGCGCAGAGAUAUGGAGGAACACCAGUGGCGAAGGCGACUUUCUGGUCUGUAACUGACGCUGAUGUGCGAAAGCGUGGGGAUCAAACAGGAUUAGAUACCCUGGUAGUCCACGCCGUAAACGAUGAGUGCUAAGUGUUAGGGGGUUUCCGCCCCUUAGUGCUGCAGCUAACGCAUUAAGCACUCCGCCUGGGGAGUACGACCGCAAGGUUGAAACUCAAAGGAAUUGACGGGGACCCGCACAAGCGGUGGAGCAUGUGGUUUAAUUCGAAGCAACGCGAAGAACCUUACCAAAUCUUGACAUCCUUUGAAAACUCUAGAGAUAGAGCCUUCCCCUUCGGGGGACAAAGUGACAGGUGGUGCAUGGUUGUCGUCAGCUCGUGUCGUGAGAUGUUGGGUUAAGUCCCGCAACGAGCGCAACCCUUAAGCUUAGUUGCCAUCAUUAAGUUGGGCACUCUAGGUUGACUGCCGGUGACAAACCGGAGGAAGGUGGGGAUGACGUCAAAUCAUCAUGCCCCUUAUGAUUUGGGCUACACACGUGCUACAAUGGACAAUACAAAGGGCAGCUAAACCGCGAGGUCAUGCAAAUCCCAUAAAGUUGUUCUCAGUUCGGAUUGUAGUCUGCAACUCGACUACAUGAAGCUGGAAUCGCUAGUAAUCGUAGAUCAGCAUGCUACGGUGAAUACGUUCCCGGGUCUUGUACACACCGCCCGUCACACCACGAGAGUUUGUAACACCCGAAGCCGGUGGAGUA
rnacentral:rRNA from 1 species